UACGUAGGGGGCUAGCGUUGUCCGGAAUCAUUGGGCGUAAAGCGCGUGUAGGCGGUCCGGUAAGUCCGCUGUGAAAGUCGGGGGCUCAACCCUCGGAUGCCGGUGGAUACUGUCGGGCUUGAGUACGGAAGAGGCGAGUGGAAUUCCUGGUGUCGCGGUGAAAUGCGCAGAUAUCAGGAGGAACACCAAUUGCGAAGGCAGCUCGCUGGGACGUUACUGACGCUGAGACGCGAAAGCGUGGGGAGCAAACAGG
rnacentral:rRNA from 1 species